ACGCUCGACACCUACGAGAGGCAGCAGUGAGGAAUAUUGGUCAAUGGGCGCUAGCCUGAACCAGCCAAGUAGCGUGAAGGAUGAAGGCUCUAUGGGUCGUAAACUUCUUUUAUAUAAGAAUAAAGUGCAGUAUGUAUACUGUUUUGUAUGUAUUAUAUGAAUAAGGAUCGGCUAACUCCGUGCUAGCAGCCGCGGUAAUCUGAGGCGGGCUGGCAAGGC
rnacentral:rRNA from 1 species